UACGUAGGGUCCGAGCGUUGUCCGGAAUUAUUGGGCGUAAAGCGCGCGUAGGCGGCUACUUAAGUCGGAUGUGAAAGCCCUUGGCUCAACUGAGGAAGUGCACCCGAAACUGAGUGGCUUGAGUACUAAAGAGGGUCGCGGAAUUCCCGGUGUAGAGGUGAAAUUCGUAGAUAUCGGGAGGAACACCGGUGGCGAAGGCGGCGACCUGGGUAGAUACUGACGCUGAGGCGCGAAAGCGUGGGGAGCAAACAGG
rnacentral:rRNA from 1 species